UGGCUCAUACAGUAAAGCGUCUGCCUGCAAAGCAGGAGACCUGGGUUCGAUCCCUG
rnacentral:tRNA from 1 species